GGGACAACCCGCCGAAAGGCGGGCUAAACCCGCGUACAUGCCACCGGGGCAUCCCGGAGGCAGGAAAGGCUUCGGCCGGACAGGGAUGGGCAUGCGGCGCAUUAGGCAGUAGGCGGGGUAACGGCCCACCUAACCGACGAUGCGUAGGGGUUCUGAGAGGAAGGUCCCCCACACUGGUACUGAGACACGGACCAGACUCCUACGGGAGGCAGCAGUGAGGAGUAUUGGUCAAUGGUCGGGAGACUGAACCAGCCAAGCCGCGUGAGGGAUGAAGGUACAGAGUAUCGUAAACCUCUUUUGUCAGGGAACAAAGGCGGGGACGUGUCCCCGGAUGAGUGUACCUGAAGAAAAAGCAUCGGCUAACUCCGUGCCAGCAGCCGCGGUAAUACGGAGGAUGCGAGCGUUAUCCGGAUUUAUUGGGUUUAAAGGGUGCGCAGGCGGUCUGUUAAGUCAGCGGUCAAAGCCCGGGGCUCAACCCCGGCCCGCCGUUGAAACUGGCAGUCUCGAGUUGGAGAGAAGUAUGCGGAAUGCGCGGUGUAGCGGUGAAAUGCAUAGAUAUCGCGCAGAACUCCGGUUGCGAAGGCAGCAUGCCGGCUCCACACUGACGCUGAGGCACGAAAGCGUGGGUAUCGAACAGGAUUAGAUACCCUGGUAGUCCACGCAGUAAACGAUGAAUGCAGGCUGUCCG
rnacentral:rRNA from 1 species